UACGGGGGGGGCAAGCGUUGUUCGGAAUUACUGGGCGUAAAGGGCUCGUAGGCGGCCAACUAAGUCGGAUGUGAAAUCCCCAGGCUCAACCUGGGAACUGCAUCCGAUACUGGAUGGCUUGAAUUCGGGAGAGGGAUGCAGAAUUCCAGGUGUAGCGGUGAAAUGCGUAGAUAUCAAGAGGAACACCUGAGGCGAAGGCGGGUUGCUAGGCUGACACUGACGCUGAGUGCGCGAAAGCCAGGGGAGCAAACGGG
rnacentral:rRNA from 1 species